GCCAGACUCCUACGGGAGGCAGCAGUGGGGGAUAUUGCACAAUGGGGGGAACCCUGAUGCAGCGACGCCGCGUGGGUGAAGGAGUGCUUCGGCAUGUAAAGCCCUAUCGGCAGGGAAGAAGCAAGACGGUACCUGACUAAGAAGCCCCGGCUAACUACGUGCCAGCAGCCGCGGUAAUACGUAGGGGGCGAGCGUUAUCCGGAUUCACUGGGUGUAAAGGGAGCGUAGACGGCCAUGCAAGCCAGAUGUGAAAGCCCGGGGCGCAACCCCGGGACUGCAUUUGGAACUGUGUAGCUGGAGUGUCGGAGAGGCAGGCGGAAUUCCUAGUGUAGCGGUGAAAUGCGUAGAUAUUAGGAGGAACACCAGUGGCGAAGGCGGCCUGCUGGACGAUGACUGACGUUGAGGCUCGAAAGCGUGGGGAGCAAACAGGAUUAGAUACCCUUGUAAGC
rnacentral:rRNA from 1 species